rnacentral:rRNA from 1 species
UUAAAUUGAAGAGUUUGAUCAUGGCUCAGAUUGAACGCUGGCGGCAGGCUUAACACAUGCAAGUCGAACGGUAACAUGAGUGCUUGCACUUGAUGACGAGUGGCGGACGGGUGAGUAAGGUAUGGGGAUCUGCCGAAUGGAGGGGGACAACAGUUGGAAACGACUGCUAAUACCGCAUAAAGUUGAGAGACCAAAGCAUGGGACCUUAGGGCCAUGCGCCAUUUGAUGAACCCAUAUGGGAUUAGCUAGUUGGUGGGGUAAGGGCUCACCAAGGCGACGAUCUCUAGCUGGUCUGAGAGGAUGACCAGCCACACUGGAACUGAGACACGGUCCAGACUCCUACGGGAGGCAGCAGUGGGGAAUAUUGCACAAUGGGGGGAACCCUGAUGCAGCCAUGCCGCGUGUAUGAAGAAGGCCUUCGGGUUGUAAAGUACUUUCGGUGAUGAGGAAGGAGAUGUAUC